rnacentral:lncRNA from 1 species
GAGAAGCAAGAAGAUAAGGGAUAAAAAGACGCGGAUAGCCUACGCGCAUCGGCGAAACCCUAGCGUCCGUAUGUCUCUCAACGCGAAGUCCCUAGCAAUCGAUAGCAUGCAUUUAACAAAGAGCUUGGAUCAUUGGCUUCCAAGAAUGGCGGGGAACUGAUGCUAGUCUAAACUUUGUGACAAGCCCGAAGGACAGUGAAUUGUAGGAUGUAUAAUCAAGUCAUCUGAGCCUCCUUGUAAACAGGUGGAUGGCAACAAGAAAAUAUUUAGUCUUCCUUCGACUAAACGUUUUCUUUUCGCUCACUCAGAAAGACGAUAUACACCGAACGUCUUCAAGCCUUUGGCCCGUGGGGAUCGCAUACAAAAGGUGAGUUAAUCUAGGGCUUUCGUUUUGAUUUCACGUUCAGCCACUGCCUAACAAAUUUUUUUUUAAAUCAAAGGCGCCAACCCCCUAGCCUUACAGAUUUAAAAUGCGAUCAGGGUUGCCAAAAGGAUUUAACGUCUCCAUGCCCUAUUCUACCCAUAGCUGACCACGAUUUUUCUUUUUUUACAUUUGGUGUGUGUGUGUGUCUGUGUGUGUGUUUUCAAGAUAGCCUAACAAAUUUUGAUCAUUUUUAUGCAUGUGUGUAAUUUUUUUUUGUUAAGUACGUGGUACCAAGUUAACGUCCCACAACAAAUAGAAAAGAAAAAAAACCAAUCAUUCCAACCCAUACACCUAAAAUUGGUUGGCAUUUUUUCCCUAACAGUUUUUCUUGUUUAUUUGUGUUUCCUUUUUUGUCCAGAAUAUAGUUCCCGGAGACAUCCUGGCACUCCCCUACAGUGUCACCUUCCCGCCAAACGGUUGCCCUAACAAAAUCGAAAAGCUAGAGAGACAAACGGUCUUAAAACCAAACAUCUAAAUAUAUACACGCGAAGAAACAACAACAACAACAACCGCGUCCCUGCCUAGCCGCAAGAAGCUAUGGAAACUGUAGGCACCUAAUCUCGAGGCGGCCGCGACAUCCUGUAUGGGACAAAAAACACAGUUAGUACACUUGAGCUAAGCUAGUCCAACCUCCUCCACUCCAUCCAACAUCCAAUUAUUUUAUUGUUUUUCAAUAAUUUACGUUUAUUCCCUAACACCUAGGCGCAUUUCUAUAAUCGUGGCGGACUGCGUCCGGGGAAAGUGUGAAGAAGCUACAAAAAAAAUGUACAAAAAAAAAAAAUCCUACCUAAACCAGAAGCUAUAAAUUCCUAGCAAAAAUUACAAAAAAAAAAGAAAAAAGUGUUAUACGACACGACGAUCCCCAGACAAUCAGUACACGGGCCACUUACCUAACAAAAGUAUUAAUAGAAAUUACCUGCCUCACGCGCGCGUAAGCUAAGGAAAUUCGCGUACAAUAGGGGGGGGGGGGAGAAUAAGCCCUGACAGAUUAAAAAGAAGGCCACCUCCUCCACUCCGACCGACCACGUCGACAAAAGCUAAAGGCUCUAGCUAAAAUGCUAUUGCGGAUUCCCUAACAGCGGAACGCGUUUUGGAAAAAAGAUAAAGUUCCAUAACAGUUCGGACUUGCAACCAACCAGAAACCAGACAAAACAACCACCAUCGACGAUAGCACAGGUUGAAUUUUGAAUAAUAAUUAUUUACGUUAAAUCCAAUAGUCGAAAAUGAUGGUGUUCUCCAGUGGAUUGCAUUCCUCCUAACCUUAAAAAAAAAAAAAAAAAAUUUUCCGAAAGAGUAUUUAAAAGAGAGAGAGAGAGAAGCAAGAAGAUAAGGGAUAAAAAGACGCGGAUAGCCUACGCGCAUCGGCGAAACCCUAGCGUCCGUAUGUCUCUCAACGCGAAGUCCCUAGCAAUCGAUAGCAUGCAUUUAACAAAGAGCUUGGAUCAUUGGCUUCCAAGAAUGGCGGGGAACUGAUGCUAGUCUAAACUUUGUGACAAGCCCGAAGGACAGUGAAUUGUAGGAUGUAUAAUCAAGUCAUCUGAGCCUCCUUGUAAACAGGUGGAUGGCAACAAGAAAAUAUUUAGUCUUCCUUCGACUAAACGUUUUCUUUUCGCUCACUCAGAAAGACGAUAUACACCGAACGUCUUCAAGCCUUUGGCCCGUGGGGAUCGCAUACAAAAGAAAGACGAUAUACACCGAACGUCUUCAAGCCUUUGGCCCGUGGGGAUCGCAUACAAAAGAAUAUAGUUCCCGGAGACAUCCUGGCACUCCCCUACAGUGUCACCUUCCCGCCAAACGGUUGCCCUAACAAAAUCGAAAAGCUAGAGAGACAAACGGUCUUAAAACCAAACAUCUAAAUAUAUACACGCGAAGAAACAACAACAACAACAACCGCGUCCCUGCCUAGCCGCAAGAAGCUAUGGAAACUGUAGGCACCUAAUCUCGAGGCGGCCGCGACAUCCUGUAUGGGACAAAAAACACAGUUAGUACACUUGAGCUAAGCUAGUCCAACCUCCUCCACUCCAUCCAACAUCCAAUUAUUUUAUUGUUUUUCAAUAAUUUACGUUUAUUCCCUAACACCUAGGCGCAUUUCUAUAAUCGUGGCGGACUGCGUCCGGGGAAAGUGUGAAGAAGCUACAAAAAAAAUGUACAAAAAAAAAAAUCCUACCUAAACCAGAAGCUAUAAAUUCCUAGCAAAAAUUACAAAAAAAAAAGAAAAAAGUGUUAUACGACACGACGAUCCCCAGACAAUCAGUACACGGGCCACUUACCUAACAAAAGUAUUAAUAGAAAUUACCUGCCUCACGCGCGCGUAAGCUAAGGA